rnacentral:rRNA from 1 species
AAAUUGAAGAGUUUGAUCAUGGCUCAGAUUGAACGCUGGCGGCAGGCCUAACACAUGCAAGUCGAACGGUAACAGGAAGCAGCUUGCUGCUUCGCUGACGAGUGGCGGACGGGUGAGUAAUGUCUGGGAAACUGCCUGAUGGAGGGGAUAACUACUGGAAACGGUGGCUAAUACCGCAUAACGUCGCAAGACCAAAGAGGGGGACCUUCGGGCCUCUUGCCAUCAGAUGUGCCCAGAUGGGAUUAGCUUGUUGGUGAGGUAACGGCUCACCAAGGCGACGAUCCCUAGCUGGUCUGAGAGGAUGACCAGCCACACUGGAACUGAGACACGGUCCAGACUCCUACGGGAGGCAGCAGUGGGGAAUAUUGCACAAUGGGCGCAAGCCUGAUGCAGCCAUGCCGCGUGUAUGAAGAAGGCCUUCGGGUUGUAAAGUACUUUCAGCGGGGAGGAAGGUGUUGUGGUUAAUAACCGCAGCAAUUGACGUUACCCGCAGAAGAAGCACCGGCUAACUCCGUGCCAGCAGCCGCGGUAAUACGGAGGGUGCAAGCGUUAAUCGGAAUUACUGGGCGUAAAGCGCACGCAGGCGGUCUGUCAAGUCGGAUGUGAAAUCCCCGGGCUCAACCUGGGAACUGCAUUCGAAACUGGCAGGCUUGAGUCUUGUAGAGGGGGGUAGAAUUCCAGGUGUAGCGGUGAAAUGCGUAGAGAUCUGGAGGAAUACCGGUGGCGAAGGCGGCCCCCUGGACAAAGACUGACGCUCAGGUGCGAAAGCGUGGGGAGCAAACAGGAUUAGAUACCCUGGUAGUCCACGCCGUAAACGAUGUCUACUUGGAGGUUGUGCCCUUGAGGCGUGGCUUCCGGAGCUAACGCGUUAAGUAGACCGCCUGGGGAGUACGGCCGCAAGGUUAAAACUCAAAUGAAUUGACGGGGGCCCGCACAAGCGGUGGAGCAUGUGGUUUAAUUCGAUGCAACGCGAAGAACCUUACCUGGUCUUGACAUCCACAGAAGAAUCCAGAGAUGGAUUGGUGCCUUCGGGAACUGUGAGACAGGUGCUGCAUGGCUGUCGUCAGCUCGUGUUGUGAAAUGUUGGGUUAAGUCCCGCAACGAGCGCAACCCUUAUCCUUUGUUGCCAGCGAUUAGGUCGGGAACUCAAAGGAGACUGCCAGUGAUAAACUGGAGGAAGGUGGGGAUGACGUCAAGUCAUCAUGGCCCUUACGACCAGGGCUACACACGUGCUACAAUGGCGCAUACAAAGAGAAGCGACCUCGCGAGAGCAAGCGGACCUCAUAAAGUGCGUCGUAGUCCGGAUUGGAGUCUGCAACUCGACUCCAUGAAGUCGGAAUCGCUAGUAAUCGUGGAUCAGAAUGCCACGGUGAAUACGUUCCCGGGCCUUGUACACACCGCCCGUCACACCAUGGGAGUGGGUUGCAAAAGAAGUAGGUAGCUUAACCUUCGGGAGGGCGCUUACCACUUUGUGAUUCAUGACUGGGGUGAAGUCGUAACAAGGUAACCGUAGGGGAACCUGCGGUUGGAUCACCUCCUUACCUUAAAGAA